CGUUAUGUUUUACUGCUUCAUUAUACAAUAUAUUUCGAAGGUCUGCAUAUAAAGGACAUAAAGUAACUACAUGUUUCUCAUCUUCAAUUUCGUUUUUACACAUAAAACAACAUCUUUCAUUUAUUGGCUUUUUCUCAUAUCGUCCUGUUUCUAUUUUAAGUGGCGCAACGCCACAUCUAAAUUUUGCAUAAGCACUUCUAAAUUUAAUAGAUAUAUUUUGUUUUAAAUAUAACUCUGUACAAUAUUGUGAUUUAUAUCGCUUAUAAGUACGAAGCUUGUUACCAUUACUCUGUGACAAAAUUUUCGUUUGCCAUUCUGCAAUAUAUU
rnacentral:lncRNA from 1 species